rnacentral:ncRNA from 1 species
GCUGAGUAGAUGAAAAGGGAAUCCGGUUCGAAUCCGGAACAACCGCCAUUACUGUAUUUGACGAGGUAGGAGCACUGUAACCAUUGGGCGAAGUCUGCCCGAGAAGGUGUGCUUCAUGUGGAUAUUUCACUGCAUCAUAAGUCAGGAUCCCUGCCGUAUCUUUAA